AGGAAUAUUGAAAAAACAAAGGCAUGAACCACCAGCUUUGGAAAUGAAAUUCUUGAAACUAAAUUUAAAAAGAUAAGAUAAAGGCAUAUAGCUAUCCGCAAGCAGAAUAUUAAUAAACUGUACAGUCAAGAAAAGGGACUUAAAUCACUGGCCUUAGAAUCAGAACUUGGUGAACUCUGGUAUGAAUUUGAAGGUCUCUUUGUGUUGUUUUCUUUUGCACAAUCCGAACACAGGAAAUUAUGUAAGUUUUUGGCCUGCUAAAUGAUCAUUCCCAUACAGGUUGGAUGGAACCUGCACAUGUUCAAAGGUACAAACUAAAGAAACAUGUGAAUAAGGAAGGUCAACAGUAGCAGAAAUACUGAGAAGAUGAAAAGAGGGAACGAGUCAAUAAUUUUACCAACGGUUACCACCAUCCUAUUAACUUAGUAACCUUUGGAAAUGUAAAACAUUCUUUUGUGAAGGAACAAAUAAGCAUGUAAUGAAGGGAAACUUAUACGAAUUGAAGGGUUUUAUCAGCAAGCAAAAGUCUCAUUCCAAUUUUGAAGCAAGUAGACAAACUCUGAAUAUAUAUUAAAGUUUAAAGCAGCCUUUUUGGGUUCUUAGUGCUUGGAACCGCAUUAUUAUAUCUCUGAAAUAACUUGGAAGAUAAUGUAUCCAGUAAGCAAAAAUAUCCUAUUUGCACCUUAUUGGCAGUCGUUUUUGAUGGCGAAAAUUAAGCGCCUCUAGAAGAUCUUGUAAAAUAUCUAUCCGUUGGCCAAUGCACUUUGGGAUUACAGGGAGCCCAUUAGUAUCUUAUAUGAUCUUACUACCUA
rnacentral:lncRNA from 1 species